rnacentral:misc_RNA from 1 species
GUGAAUCAUCAAAUUUUUGAACGCAAAUUGCACACUCUUCGGAGAGUAUGGCUGUUUGAGGGUGAGUAUUAAUAAAAAUCGGUGUGUUGGUUUUUUGUGAGGCUUCGGGGUUUGGGUCGUUUUAAUAAUCUUUAGGUUUUAAGAGGCUUAAAAUUGACUUUUUUUGCGAAUUUUUUAUGUACAUAAAUUCUUUUUUUUAUUGGUCUAUCUCAAUGACUAAAGUCCUAUUAGUUGUGAUCAUA